AAGACCUUGCGCUUUUGGAGCGGCCGAUGCCUGAUUAGCUUGUUGGUGAGGUAAAAGCUCACCAAGGCUUCGAUCAGUAGCUGGUCUGAGAGGACGACCAGCCACACUGGGACUGAGACACGGCCCAGACUCCUACGGGAGGCAGCAGUGGGGAAUUUUGGACAAUGGGGGAAACCCUGAUCCAGCCAUGCCGCGUGAGUGAAGUAGGCCUUCGGGUUGUAAAGCUCUUUCAGCCGGAACGAAACGGUUACGGUUAAUACCCGUAACUACUGACGGUACCGGAAGAAGAAGCACCGGCUAACUACGUGCCAGCAGCCGCGGUAAUACGUAGGGUGCGAGCGUUAAUCGGAAUUACUGGGCGUAAAGCGUGCGCAGGUGGUUUUGCAAGUCAGAUGUGAAAUCCCCGGGCUCAACCUGGGAACU
rnacentral:rRNA from 1 species